rnacentral:rRNA from 1 species
UAAGGAAUAUUGGUCAAUGGACGCAAGUCUGAACCAGCCAUGCCGCGUGAAGGAUGAAGGUCCUCUGGAUUGUAAACUUCUUUUAUCUGGGACGAAAACGGGAUUUUUAUCUCACUUGACGGUACCAGAGGAAUAAGCACCGGCUAACUCCGUGCCCGCAGCCGCGGUAAUACGGAGGGUGCGAGCGUUAUCCGGAUUUAAUGGGUUUAAAGGGUGCGUAGGUGGGCUUAUAAGUGAGUGGUGAAAUCUCCGAGCUUAACUUGGAAACUGCCGUUGNUACUAUAGGUCUUGAAUUAUCUGGAGGUAAGCGGAAUAUGUCAUGUAGCGGUGAAAUGCUUAGAUAUGACAUAGAACACCAAUUGCGAAGGCAGCUUACUACAUAUAAAUUGACGCUGAGGCACGAAAGCGUGGGGAUCAGACA